GAAGGACCUGGGCGCACACCGCCACAUUAAUCCGUAACCUGAUUUCUUCUUCUUCUGCUGACAAAGACCCAAAUCUGCUCCCCGACCCCGUCCUCUCUCCUCAGUCUCGGAGCCAGGGGCGAUCCGUCGACCUCGCCUCUCCGCCGCCGUAAUCUCCUUCUUCUCCGUUACUACCGUGAGCUGAGUGAGAUCGAUAAAGAGUGGAGGUCGCCAGUUCAGCCUCAAGAGUGAGGGGAGAGUCUCAGGCUUGGGAACCUUUUCCUUUGGACACAUAGCUUGAUAAAAGCAACACCCGGGUGUCGCUGAAGAAGCAUAGAUCGGGGAGUUUUCUUGGCCUGAGAAGUACAGGAGAGGAGAGUAGUGAUAGCAUGGCUUCAAAGCUUGUGGUUCUUGGAAUCCCUUGGGAUGUGGAUACAGAAGGAUUAAAAGAGUACAUGAGCAAGUUUGGCCCCCUGGAUGAUUGCAUUGUUAUGAAGGAUCGCUCAUCUGGUCGAUCUCGUGGUUUUGGAUACGUGACGUUUUCGUCAGUAGAGGAUGCAAAGAAUGUCGUUAACUCUGAGCAUAUUCUUGGAGACCGAACUCUGGAAGUGAAGAUAGCGACUCCCAAGGAAGAAAUGCGAGCUCCAGGAAACAAGAAAGCUACUAGGAUAUUUGUUGCUCGGAUUCCACAGUCUGUGGAUGAGUCAAUGUUUCGCAGGCAUUUUCAAACUUUUGGAGAAAUAACAGAUCUUUAUAUGCCCAAGGAACUGGGUUCAAAAGAACAUCGUGGAAUUGGGUUUGUCACUUUCCGGAGUGCAGAAUGCGUGGACAAUGUCAUGCAAGAAAAUCAUGAGAUUGAUGGUUCAACAGUUGUUGUUGAUCGUGCAACUCCGAAGGUCCGCAGGAUCAUGAUCCUAAAGAUGCUACAAUUAGCAUUCGGAUGCGACCAUGAUCCUAUAAAGGGCUUCUUUGGAACGAAGAAAUCGAAACACUCAGGGGAUGAAGAAGUCAGGCACCCUCCAAGGAGGGGGGGAGGAGCACAGGGCGAGGGUGGUUAUGGCUCGUAUAAUGCAUACAUUACAGCUGCUACCAGAUAUGCAGCUCUGGGCGUACCAACACUGUAUGAUCAUCCUGGACCAGCUUAUGGAAGAGGUUACUUGAAUGAGCCCCCUGUAUCAAGCAAAAAGAUUUUUAUUGGUAGACUCCCACAAGAAGCAAAUACUGAUGAUUUAUGGGAUUAUUUUGGCCGAUUUGGCAGAAUUGUGGAUGCAUACAUUCCAAAGGAUCCUAAAAAGAGCGGCCACCGUGGUUUUGGUUUUGUUACUUUUGCUGAGGAUGGUGUAGCAGAUCGUGUAGCGCGAAGAAGUCAUGAAAUUUUGGGACAGGAGGUUGCUGUAGACUCAGCUGCACCUGUUGAGGGUGGCCCCAGUCGAGGCGGUUACAUGGAACCACCUGCGCCACAUGGAGCUUACAGCCCGAUGAUGUCUUAUGGCCAGUUCUCUGGCAGUCUUGGUUAUGAUUGCCUCGUGCUACCAAGUGACCAGUUCUUGCUGGCUACCCAUCUUCUUUCGCCGUUGUCAAAUAACCUGCCAUGGAGAACCCGGCGUUCACGGCGGAGCUCGACGUCACACGGGGUUCAUCCUACGGCAGGUUCGUCUCCGGCGUGCGCGACCAGCUCGUGCUCCAUGCCGGCGCGACGCGCCACCUGGAGCUCGUCUUGCUUCCAGCCCAGUCCGAGGACCCCGGCAAGGCUCCAUGGUUCGGCGUCACGCUCCGUUGCGGCUCCGGGCGCUCGGCGCUGCUCCGCAUACGCGCAGACAACCUCUACCUCUCCGGUUACCGGAGCUCAGACGGUCUGUGGUCCGAGUUCCUCGGUGGCUCUCUCAUCGCUGGCGCGACGCCGAUUUCGUUCGGCGAUAGCUACGGCGACAUGGCGAGAGUGGCCGAGACGGCACUCGAGGCACUCACCCUCGGCAAGGAGGAGCUCCAAGCCGCGGCGGAGCGCCUCACGGCCAGCGCCGGCACUCAGCAGGAGAUCGCAAGAUCGCUGAUGACCAUGUCGGUGAUGGUUUGUGAGGCCAUCAGGUUCAGGAGCGUCGGCGGCGCGCUCAGCCACAUGAUGUGCAACGCUGCCCGGCGAGGGGUGCUGCCGGCGCACAUGGUCGAGCAGGUGAAGAACUGGAGGAGCCUGUCCGAGUACUGGCUCGGGGCCGUCCUCUACGCACAGCCGUUCCUGCCGUACAUAGAGGCCGACGGCAGCCAGCACUAUGGCCACAUCCCCCAGCACCUGCUCGCGCCGGCGAAGAUCGACUGCCAGGACCACGCCAUGAUGGCGCUCGGCGUCGCGCUGAACCGGCAGAGGGGGCUGCAGGACAAGCACCCGGCGGCCUUCGACGAGCAUUGGCGCGCCGUGCGCGCCCACGCUCGCAAGCUUGACAGGGAAAGAGCAUCUGCAUCCGGCACAUGAGUCGGAGGCUUGGAGUAAGCUCUUUCCUAUACCUGGUAUAUUUACCUUUUUGGCUUGAAAUGUGACCCAUGUUACA